rnacentral:lncRNA from 1 species
AGCUCUACCUCGAAUGUCCUCUUCUGUUGCUUGCGGAUUGGCUCCAUUCUCAUCUCCAUUGCCCAUUACUGCUGAUUUGUCUGUUAAAUGGGCUUCAUUGGCAAUCAAUGAUGGAGAUUAUGGCCGUUCUGGCUUCUGGUGAGUUCAACUCGUCUUUAUUAUUUUUGUUUAUCAUUCAGUUGGGUUGGUGAGUGGUUGUUGUAGCUUUCUUGUGAAAGUUCUUUAAAGUGGAAUAGCUUUUGUUGACUUAAUUUGGAUCUGGGUCUUAGCUGGCUAAACUCAACCUUUAGUUUGAUGGAUUUGUCCAUAACUGUGUAGAAAAAGAAUAAAGAAAUUGCUGAUAUGAGUUUUAUAGUGAUGUGCAGUAGAUUUGACAAUUGAAUCGACGAUUUUCAAAUAUCCACAUAUGCAACUUGAUUCUACUUGGUCUGCCGCUGUUAUCAUGUAAAAAAGAAAGAAAAGCCAGUUAUUCUUAUAGAAUUGAAAUAGAGUUAUCCCAGUUGGCAGUAAAUUGGAUUAUUCAUUUGUUUGCCUAUAUUGGUUCUACUAUGCUUUUUAUUUUCUUAAUGUAAAUCUACAUAUGAUAGAGUUAGGAAAUCAUCUAAGGGUUGUACACCACCACUACCCUAACAAACCCAGUCUAGUCUCACAAGUAGGGUCUGGGGAAGUUAGUGUGUACUCAAACUUUACGCGUACCUUGAAAAGAUAGAGAGACUGUUUCCGAUAGACCUUCAGCUCAGGAAAGAUAAGAAGAAAGGAGUAGCAACAAGUAGUAACACCAGCAGGCCAAUCAGAAAAUCGAAGUGAACGAAACAACUAGUGAUAACAGAAAUAUAAGAAUAAGAAAAUACAAGACUAACACUAUGUAGCACACUAAUAUCACUAAUAUGAACAAGGAAAAUAGAAAAUAGCUGGCCACCUAACCUUCUACCGAAUUCUUGAUCUCUACACCUUCCUAUCAAGGAUUAUGUCCUCGAUAAGUUGAAGUAUCACCAUGUCUUCCCUAAUCAUCUCACCUCAAUACUUUUUCGGCUUACCUCUACCUCUCCUUAGGCCCUCCAAGGCCAACCUCUCAUGCCUAUUUAUUGGGGCAUCAAUGCUUCUCCUCUUUACCUGUCCAAACUAUCUAACUCUCGCUUCAUGCAUCUUGUCCUCCACCAGAGCUAUGCCCACUUUUUCUCGAAUAUCUUCAUUCCAAAUUUUAUCCAACUUGGUAUACCCACUUACAUCUCAACAUCCUCAUUGCCGUUACCUUCAUCUUUUGGAUAUUGGGUUCUUGACUGGCCAACACUCAACUCCAUACAUGAUACAACAUAGUCGGUCUGACUACCGCUCCGUAGAACUUACUUUUAAGUUUUGAUGGCACAUUCUUAUCACACAAAACAGCGGAUGCGAGCCUCCCUUUUAUCCUCCUAAUACGAUGUGUGACAUCGUCGUCAAUCUCCCCAUUUCCCAUCACAAGUCACUUCGAUCAAUAACGAAUAAACAGGAAAUUCUAUGCAGGUUUAACUAAAAAUGAAUAGCUAUCACAUCCGCACAAUAGAUUUGUGGAAAAGAGAAAUAGCAAGCUAGAAACAUUCAAUUCUAAAAUAAAAAAAAGGAAGAUACAUUACUGUACUGUGUCUCAAAAAGAAGGAGAGAUAGAGAUGAGUAUACUCAUCAUUCGGCAUUUGUCACAUUGCAAAAACAAAUUAUUCUCAGACUCUUCAUCCAUAUGGCAAAUCAUCUAAGAUUGCGCUUAGUUGAAUCUAGAAUUUUCCAAAGAAAACAUGCUGAGGCUGCUAGAUAAUUUCCUUCCUAUAUUGAUAUUUUGAUGUAACACGAACCUCUUCUAUGAGUGCAGAAAGUUGUGUACUGUCAAAUUGUCUCACUCUUGUAUUUCCUGGCACUAAAUAUUAGUGCUGAGUAAGCUCAUAGGUACAUGAAAGGAUGUAACUAUCAAUUCUAUUUGAAAUAGCCAUUAGUUUGCUUUAUAGACAUAAUCUGUUUUAACUUAUGACGUUCUUGGUUAUAAUUUGUUCAGCAGUACGUUUAAACGUAGUUCUCUGCAAGGAAAAUACAUUAUUCCUUAUCAGAAUUUUGAAAGUAAAACGUUACUGACCACCAUUUUUACUAAAUUUAAGGGAAAUUAACUGGUAAGAAGACAUCUAUUCUCUUAAAAGAAGUGAUAGAUAUCUAAAGUGCUGGGCAUUACUGCCAUGCAAGUAUUCAUAUUCUAUGUGUCAAGUUAAGAGGUCAUUAAUAUCUUAGGUGUUGUGCAUUAAUUCCAUGAAUGAUUUAUAUAAACCAGUAGAAUCUUUCAUCUUUGGUGACAAACAAAGCAGCAGCAUGAUGAAAUAUUCCUAGGCUGAGGUAGAAAGCUCAUACGAGGUAACAUGAGGUUGCAAAAACAAGGAUACAAGGAAUAUCUAGAAAUGACUUAUAUAUUGUCACAAAGCAGCGUUCUAGCAGUGCAUUUAUAAAUUGCGAAAAGGCCUUACCUAUCUCAUGCAUAGAGUAAUUAUGAAGUUAAAGUAAUUACUGCUUGGCUUCUGCCAAUACUUCUAUCUUUAAUGAUACAUUAUCUCAGAUCUUUGGCCAUUUUAGCCUUUAUUUUAGUAUAUAAAUGAAGUAUCAGAUUUAUUUCUGCAUUGGAAUAAUAAUUUGUUUUACAUUAUCUUACAUAGGUGUGUCCUUUGAUAAUGUCAACACUCUAGAGGAAAUGUAGCCUCAAGGUAAAAAGAUAAACUGAGUUGAAUAUGAUCAUUGUUGGUGCAGACAAGGACAUAUACAGGUACCUCUUGCUUUCUAACCUCCCUCUUUUCCCUCCCUAGAAGUAUUUAAACAGGAAAAGAUGCAGUUAGCUGUUGUGUUAAUAAGCAUAGUCCUGCAUGGAAUAGGAGUAGUGUAGGUAUUGUGUUAUUAUAAAUAGGGGUACUUCUAUUAUAGUUAACAUAUCAAUAAUAUAUUUUCUCCCGUGCCUUCUCACAUGGGUACUAGAGCAGUGGUGGCGAGACAUAUCCAGGAACUAGAAUGUAGAGCCAGAAGUCAUCGUGCCUCAAUUUUCCGGCGACUUUUCAAUGUUGCCUUGCAUCAUCUCGCUCUCCGUCAGUGUUGUACAAAAUCCAAUACUACCACAAAAUCCGUCAUCGUCCGGCGGCCGAACCCCAGUGAACCUCUCCGGCAGCAGCCUCCUCACGCCGUUAGAAGCUAGGGUUCCGGCAAGCGCGUGAGCUCACGCACUGGCGAGUACGACCACUUCCGGCCAUUUUUUAAAGAAGUUUCUUCUGAACAGUUGGGCCGUCUACUAAUCCCGACCCCACCUUUACUAUUUUCGUUUUAUUCCGACCACUUUGAGUUUUUUUCGAUGAUUAUACUGAUUUUUCCGGCAGCUACAGUAAAUUUCCCGUGACUACAAUGUUUCCUUCCUCUGCUUCAGUGGAUUCUUUCUCUUAUUUGGUAAUAAUUUGCUAGACCUCUCUUCAAUCCAAUGCUUUCUUUGGGAUUUGAUGUUUUUGGGUAUAAAAACACGGGUUCUGGUAGUUCUAGUGUUAUGAUUACCCCGGAACCUUUAAUGGGAAGCUCAAACUACUUAGCUUGGGCUUCGUUUGUCGAGUUAUGGUGCAAAGGUCAAGGUAUUCAAGAUCAUCUAAUAAAAAGUCUAGCGAAGGAGAUGAAAAAGCCAUAGCACUUUGGGUGAAGAUCGAUACUUAGUUAUGUAGUAUUCUGUGGCUAUCUAUUAAUUCCACGUUGAUGGCCUUAUUUUGUCCAUUCCAGACAUAUUAUUUGAUUUGGGAAAAGACUCGCACUUUAUACUCUAAUGACAUAUUUCGUUUCUAUGAUGUGGUAUCACGGAUGACAAAUUUAAAGAAACAGGAAUUAGAUAUGUCUACUUACUUGGGACAAGUACAGGCAGUCACGGAGGAAUUUGAGAAGUUGAUACUAGAUUCUGCUAGUGUUGAAAAGCAACAAGAGCAACGACAAAAGAUGUUUCUAGUUCUUACCCUCACCAGACUUCCUAAUGAUCUUGAUUCAGUAUGUGACCAAAUUUUGGCUAGUCCAACUGUUCCCGCAGUUGAUGAAUUAUUUUUUCGAUUACUUUGCCUUGCUGGAGCACCAAGUCACCUAAUGAUCUCAUUACAGACACUUGACUCCUCUGUUCUCGCAUCCCAGACAGUAGACAAUCAGGCAUCUCAAACUAUGGAGAAUGGACGAGAAGGAGGUCGUUUUGAAAGACCUUGACCCAAGUGUUCUUAUUGUCACCAACUUGGACACACUCGUGAAUUGUGCUAUCCCUUACAUGGUCAUCCAUCCAAAAAUGCUUAUGUUGCCAGAUCGAGACAACAUGUAACUAGGGAUUUUCAUUGUUUGAAGGGGAAUAUAAUGAGUUCCUUCAGUAUCGAGCAAGUAAGCAGACAUCUCCACAAGUAGCCUCGGUUGCUCAGACUGAUACUUCAGUCGCUGAAUUCUUUUGCUUGUGUAUCCCAGUCUAGUAUUCUUGGACCAUGGGUCAUGGACCGCUUAUGAUCAUAUCUCUUGUAAUAAAUUACUUUUUUCGCAGUCUCUUCCUACUGUUACUUUAGCUAAUGAGUGUCAAACUAAAGUAAAAGGAGCUGGAUAAGCUAAUUCUCUAUCUUUUGUCAUUCUAGAUUCCGUUCUUUAUAUCCCUGACUGUUCUUUUAGUCUCGCAUCUAUUAGUCGUUUAACUCGUGCCCUCCAUUGUGGUAUAUAUUUAUUGAUAAUUCUUUUAUUAUGCAGGACCGCAGUACGAGACAGACAAUUGGCACAAGGCAUGAAUCAAAAGGCCUUUACGACCUUAACUCACUCAAUCCUUCCACAACAUGUGUAGUUACAGAUCCUCCAGACCUACUUCACAUACGUUUAAGAUAUUCGAGUUUAUCCAAGCUUCAAAAGAUGAUGCCUAGUUUAUCUAAUUUGGCUACAUUAGAUUUUGAGUCGUGUCAUCUUGGGAAACAUACCCGAGCCUCCUUUCCGCGUAGUGUUGAGAGUCAUGAAGAGUUUGUUUUCUCUUUGCUGAAAAACCACUUUUUUUAAGUCAAUCUAAACGGGCUCUUAUCCUCUCAGUUUCAGCAGUUUAUUACUUCCCAAAGAAUUAUUUAUCAGAUAUCUUAUACCCCUCAACAAAUUGGGGUUGCAAAGAGAAAGAAUAGACACCUUAUUGAGGCUGCUCGCACAUUGUUCAUUGAAUCUCGUAUUCCAUUGCGUUUUUGGGGCGAUUCAGUUCUUACAAUUUGUUAUUUGAUUAAUCAGAUGUCUUCAUCUCUCAUCCAAGAUCAGAUUCCGCAUUCAGUGUUGUUUCCGCAGUUCCCCUUAUACUCUUCCCUAUCGUGUUUUUGUGAGCAUAUGUUUCGUUUAUAAUUUUGCCCCUGAGAAAGAUAAAUUAGCUCCUCGUGUCUUCCUUGGUUAUUCUCGUGUUCAGAAGGUAUAUCGUUGUUAUUCACCUUAUCUUCGUUGGUACCUUAUGUCAACUGACAUCACAUUUAUUGAGUCUAAACCUUUCUUUACCUUUUCUGACCACCAUAAUAUAUAUGAGGAAUUACAUAUACCAACUUUUGAGGAGUUUACUGUAGCUCCUCCUCUACCUUCAGCCACAGAAGUCUUAUUGAUACCAACCGUUGAGGAGUCUGGUGUUGCUCCUCCUAGAUCCCCAGCCACAGGAACACGGAUUUUGACUUAUCAUCGUCGUCCACACCCAGUAUCAGGCUCAGUUGAUUCUCGUCCUGCACCUGACCCUGCUCCUACUGUAGACUUGUCUCUUCCUAGUACACCGAUUGCACUUCGGAAAGGUAUACGGUCCACACUUAAUCCUAAUCCCCAUUAUGUUGGUUUAAGUUACCAUCGUCUGUCAUCAUCCCAUUGUGCAUUUGUAUCAUCUUUGUCAUCUGUUUCCAUCUCUAAGUCUACAAGUGAAGCACUGUCUUAUCCAAGGUGGCGACAUGCUAUGGUUGAAACCAGAAGCUGAAAUACUUAAGUUACAGACUUUUAGCAUAAGCACACUAAAAAUGAGUAUUCGUGUGUAUUGGUACUCAACCUACUGUUGGCUUGAGCAUUACCUUGUUUUGGCUUGAUGUUCGUAGAUGCAGUCAGAAUGGGAGAAAUAGAAAAAUAGUUAGAUUUACAAGUGGUUAUUUAAAAAUAGCCACAGCUGAAAUUUAGCCACUUUUCAUGUAAAGAUAAAUUUGAAUGAAAACACUGUUCAAAAUCCGAAAAAAUACUCCAGCAUAAUAUACUGAAGUUCCAAUAUAAUAUACUGGUCUAGCAUAAUAUACUGGAGUUUGGAGCACCGGUGCUCCAGUCUUCAGUAUAUUAUACUGGAGCCAGCAAAGUAUACCUGUCCAUCAUAGUAUGCUGGAAGUUCAUACAUAGGUGCACCGAACUCUAGUAUGUCAUGGUGGACCGGUCUCUGUUGCAGUAAAAUAGUGGCUAUUUUUCAUUGACUUGGUAAACGGUGGCUAUUUUUGAAUGACCAGUCCGAAAAAUGACUAGACCGUACUAUUUUAACGUCAGAAUAGUUACUACAGCAGUUCCUUGAGGGUGUUUCCUCCUCUCUUACAGUAAAUUUAGGAGCGGGAUCUGACUAUAAAAAAUGUGCAAAAGCAUCUCUUUGGUUGCCCCAUAUUUGUAGUACGCCAAUCUUUGUAUCACAUUGAGCCACCAUCAGUUUACUUUGGACGAAUUUUGUUGACGUUGUAUGCUGUGGGUGUCAACAGAGAAACAACCCUCCUCUUAACAUAGUGCAGAAUAUUGUGAAAUCCUGUGCAUUGUAAUUUUGACUGCUUGCUGUUAUAAGUUAAAGGUCAUUGCUAAUUGUAUUGAAUUUAAUAGGUUAAUAAUGUGUAACUGAUUGGUAUACUGAUCCCAGCUUUACUUCCUUUGUCUUCGAUCUAUUACGAGGAUCAAAGAUUUGUUUUUCACUACCCAAAAUAUGUACUAUUGCCUUGGCAGUCAGUAGUAUCUGAUUUUGUUAACGUUAGCUGAUAGCUUUUGUUUGUUAGUGCAUAAUCAUUCCUUUUAUUUACUGGUUGUGACAAGAGGGGUUGCUCUGAUGGUAAGCAACCCCCACUUCCAAUCGAGAGGUUGUGAGUU